rnacentral:rRNA from 1 species
AAGAAAGUAAGCAAGGGCGCAUGGCGGAUGCCUUGGCUCUCGGAGGCGAUGAAGGACGUGAUAAGCUGCGAUAAGCUUCGGGAAGGUGCAAAUAACCAUUGAUCCGAAGAUUUCCGAAUGGGACAACCCGGCAUUCUGAAGGAAUGUCAUCCAACUAAGUUGGAAGCUAACGCAGGGAACUGAAACAUCUUAGUACCUGCAGGAAAAGAAAAUAAUAAUGAUUCCCCAAGUAGUGGCGAGCGAACGGGGAUUAGCCCAAACCAAUUUUGUUACGGCAAAAUUGGGGUUGUAGGACCACGAUAUCGCAAGAAAUUUGGUGAGAAGAAUUCUUUGGAAAAUGAAACCAUAGAGGGUGAUAGUCCCGUAUUCGAAGCCAAACGAAGCGUAGUGGUAUCCUGAGUAGCGCGGGACACGAGAAAUCUUGCGUGAAUCCGCCGGGACCAUCCGGUAAGGC